ACGCCAGAGCACUACGAGCGAUAGCUUAAAACUCAAAGGACUUGGCGGUGCCCUAAACCCCUCCAGAGGAGCCUGUUCUAUAAUCGAUACCCCACGUUAAACCUUACCACUCUUUGCCAUUUCAGCCUAUAUACCACCGUCGCCAGCUCACCCUUUGAGGGGACAGUAGUUAGCAGAAUGAGCAACCUCAAUACGUCAGGUCAAGGUGUAGCAAAUAGAGCGGAGAGAAAUGGGCUACAUUUUCUUAAAAAGAAUACUACGGAUAGCAUAAUGAAAACACCCCUGAAGGCGGAUUUGACAGUAAAUACAAAUAAUAAAGUUAUACUGAAACUGGCCAUAGGGCGCGC
rnacentral:rRNA from 1 species